rnacentral:misc_RNA from 1 species
CAGAUGGUUCCUGCCGACAGAGUCUGUAUAGUUGUCAGAUUUUCUGUGCGAUGGCUCCAUACAUAA